AGGGAUCAUUACCGAGUUUACAACUCCCAAACCCCUGUGAACAUACCAUUUUGUUGCCUCGGCGGUGCCUGCUUCGGCAGCCCGCCAGAGGACCCAAACCCUUGAUUUUAUACAGUAUCUUCUGAGUAAAUGAUUAAAUAAAUCAAAACUUUCAACAACGGAUCUCUUGGUUCUGGCAUCGAUGAAGAACGCAGCGAAAUGCGAUAAGUAAUGUGAAUUGCAGAAUUCAGUGAAUCAUCGAAUCUUUGAACGCACAUUGCGCCCGCCAGUAUUCUGGCGGGCAUGCCUGUUCGAGCGUCAUUUCAACCCUCAAGCCCCCGGGCUUGGUGUUGGAGAUCGGCGUGCCCUCCGGGGCGCGCCGGCUCCCAAAUAUAGUGGCGGUCUCGCUGUAGCUUCCUCUGCGUAGUAGCACACCUCGCACUGGGAAACAGCGUGGCCACGCCGUUAAACCCCCCACUUCUGAAAGGUUGACCUCGGAUCAGGUAGGAAUACCCGCUGAACUUAA
rnacentral:rRNA from 1 species